CUCAUGGAAGCAUAGUUGUAAACAAAACAAGAUGGAGUCCUGUUUGAUUGUUGAAAAAGAAGAAGAGAAACUUUCCAAGAAAUAUAAAGCUUUCCGGGAACAUACUGAAGCUUCCUUGGAAGAUACGUUAAAGCAUCUUUCUAGUCUCCGUGAAGAAUUAUCUAAAGUUGAUACUGAAAAUGAGUUAACCAGUACACAGCUUGAAAUUCUUGGUGAGAUUUCAAAGAAAGUGGAUAACAUAGUUUCACAAGUUGCUGGUGAGCAUAAAGAUCUACAUGGCGCUCUUUCAAGGAUUGGAAAAUCAAUUGAUAGGAAUUUUGUUCAAGACAAUACUGGUGUUAGCCAGCCUGGUGUGUUUGUUGGGGAGAAAUUCUCAACUUUAAAUGAAGUUUUAUGUCAACAUUUCUUUCGCCAAGGAAGGCUGGACAUCGGUGAAAGUUUGGUGAAGGAAGCUGAUCUUGAUAUCGAUGAGACUAAGAAACUCCCAUUUACGGAACUAAACUUCAUCCUUGAUGCUUGUCGCCAGAGAUGUUUGGACCCAGCCCUGAGGUGGUGCCAAGAACACAGGACACAGUUAGAAGAGAAAGGAAGUUCGUUGGAGUUUAAACUUCAUAGAUUAAAAUACAUCAAUCUAUUAAUCCAAGGCAAUAUUACAGCUGCUCUUUGCUAUGCAAACAACUUUGUACCAUUUUCAAAACAGAACUCGAAAGAAAUCCAACAGUUAAUGGCAUGCUUAGCCUACUGUAAAUCAGGCAUAGAGAACUCCCCUUAUGCAAACUUGCUGGAUCCUGUGCAUUGGAGUGAAAUUUGUGAAAUAUUUACCCGUGAUGCUUGUGGCUUGCUUGGCUUGUCUCUUGAGAGCCCACUAGAGGUGUGUGUUUUAGCAGGUUGCCAGGCUCUACCUUCAUUACUGCAGAUAAAACAAGUGAUGCAGCAAAGACAAUGCUCUGGUGUUUGGACGUCAAAAGAUGAGCUACCUAUUGAAAUUGAUUUGGGUUCAGAGCAUCGUUAUCACUCGCUCUUUGCUUGUCCAAUAUUACGUCAGCAGUGUACGGAUAGCAACCCCCCACAACGCCUGCAAUGUGGUCAUGCCAUCUCAAAGGAUGCAUUAACCAAACUUACCAACGGCAACAAGAUCAAAUGUCCAUAUUGUCCGAAGGAAAUGUCGCCAAGUGAAGCUAGAGAGCUCCACUUCUAUUAAAAGCAGUAGAAACGUAUCAUCAUCUUCAUAUGGUCGUCAUCUUCUUAUGAAACGUCUUGCAGUUCACAUGCAGAACGCGUUAACAACAGUAUAGAUAACGUUUGAGAUGCCUCAUCACGGUAUAUUGUUGCUAAUGCGUUAGUCCAGGAGAGACACGACGAUGUAGAAAUAUGGUGAUAAUUCCAAAGUUUUCGUCAGAACUGCCGAUUGUUAAUGAAAAUUGGCUUACCGUGUGCAGAUUGGCUCAAGAGACAGUCAUUCUUACCAGACCUCCCGCCUUAGCGCUAAGAAGCGGUUUAAAAUGAAAGCGAAAAUUCGUCGUUGGCACGUUGCUGUAUUUUUUAUGCUGUUAUUACAACAACAACGUCUGGGGUAAUGAAUGACUGAUGAUAAGAAUAUAUAUUCUCUAAGCCAUUGAUAUAUAUUUGCAUGUAAAUUGGGCAUAACUUUGUAUAAUCACCUGUCAGUUUGAAGUAAAAAUGUAAAUUAUAUUAUCGCAUCUAAUUCUUCGUCUUCCUCUCUGGACGAAAGUAUAAUUGCCCUGUGUAGAUAUACUGCGAUAUAUUCUACUGCAUGUGGGUAAGUUUUUUGUGUGUCUCUGGGUUCGGGUGUACCUGCUCUGACAGAUAUCAAUAAAGCUCAUCUUGCUCAGCCAACUAUGAAAACCAUAUUUAAAUUCUCGUCGUCGUUGCGAAUUUUAUGGCCGAGUCUUAUUUUAUUCAUGCAUUUUGCUAACUCUGUUUCAAACAAUUCAACAAAAUGUUAUCGACGUUUUAAAUACACUUUACCCUCGUGGUCAAAGUGUGAUGCUGGAAGAGGUAGCAACGACCAAACAGCGGAUUUCAAUGAUAAAGAGACGAUGCGAUUGCCUCGUAUUGAUCCAGUCAAAAUUGGGUUUAUCAGAGAAGUACAGCAUAAAGAUAUAAUAUAUACGUUGAAAACGCUUAGCCUAAGACCAC